AUUGAACGCUGGCGGCAUGCCUUACACAUGCAAGUCGAACGGCAGCACGGGAGCAAUCCUGGUGGCGAGUGGCGAACGGGUGAGUAAUAUAUCGGAACGUGCCCAGUCGUGGGGAUAACGUAGCGAAAGCUACGCUAAUACCGCAUACGAUCUAUGGAUGAAAGCGGGGGAUCGCAAGACCUCGCGCGAUUGGAGCGGCCGAUAUCAGAUUAGGUAGUUGGUGAGGUAAAGGCUCACCAAGCCGACGAUCUGUAGCUGGUCUGAGAGGACGACCAGCCACACUGGGACUGAGACACGGCCCAGACUCCUACGGAGGCAGCAGUGGGGGAAUUUUUGGGACCAAAUGGGCGCAAGCCUGAUCCAGCAAUGCCGCGUGCAGGAUGAAGGCC
rnacentral:rRNA from 1 species